rnacentral:rRNA from 1 species
GACGAACGCUGGCGGCGGGCUUAACACAUGCAAGUCGAACGGAAAGGCCCUGGUUCGGUGGGGUGCUCGGGUGGCGAACGGGUGAGUAACACGGGAGUAACCUGCCUGUGAGUAUGGUAAAACUUCAGGAGACUGGGGCUUAUACCGGAUAGGAGCUCCCGCUGCAAUGUGGGGGUUGGAAAGUUUCGGCUGUUGGGGAUGGACUCGCGGCUUAUCAGCUUGUUGGAGGGGUAGUGGGUUACCAAGGCUUUGACGGGUAGCCGGCCUGAGAGGGUGACCGGCCACAUUGGGACUGAGAUACGGCCCAGACUCCUACGGGAGGCAGCAGUGGGGAAUAUUGCACAAUGGGCGGAAGCCUGCUGCAGCAACGCCGCGUGCGGGAUGACGGCCUUCGGGUUGUAAACCGCUUUCGCCUGUGACGAAGCGUGAGUGACGGUAAUGGGUAAAGAAGCACCGGCUAACUACGUG